AUGGCUAGUGGAAGCCCUUGGAACCGUCAGAAGUGUAAUGGGUGUGGUGACUGGAGAAAGGGUCUUUGCAGUGAUGGCGCUCAAGUUGCAGAAUACUCUUCACAGGAACACCAGCUUGGCAUCAAGUUUGUUUUGCUGUUUUUUAGCUGUCAGGCACUCUCAACACCUGUUAUCCUUGGUAUCAUUGCGGACACAACAGGGUGUGAAUUCAUCUUAAGGCUGAUAGGUGUACCCUGCCCUUCAAAAACCAAAAUGUCCCCAGGACUUAAAGUCAGGAAUCAGGCACCAUGGGGAGUGGCUCUCAGCCCAGGUGCCCACUUGUGGCAUCAACAGAAGGUGUUGUGCGAUGGUGGUCCAGCAUGGAAGUUUAGAAAGGAGGGUGGAACAUCCAGGAUGGCUCUGGUGACUCAAGGAGGUCAGAAGUUAUAG
rnacentral:lncRNA from 1 species